CCUCCGCCAUCCUCUAUUACACAGACCCCAUCACGUGAUCCUGUCAGCUGACAUUACCCUCACGUCACACCUUCCACAAAAAAAAGGCAGAAGCUGGGAAAUAGUAGAGAACACGGAUCGGAAUGCCUCGCGGGCCCUCUUCGAUUCUUUCCGGCGGCGCUCUUCGGCUGUUCCCGGGUGCGCUCUUCGGCUAUUUCCGGUACCGCUCUUCGGUUGUUCCCGGAGCCCUUUCUGAACAGUGUGCCACAGUCUUUGAAAGUGGGAGUACGACAGCACAACUGCAACUUACGUACAUAGUUACAACUGUUUGUGAUUUCUGGCAGCUGGAUGAAGAUGGCUAGAGCGUGGUUGCAGUUUAGACAAUGAAGCUGUAAAUACAAGCAGCCUCUUCAAACUUAGGCUGUGUAAUUGGAUCUUUGCUUGGUUUUCCCUAAUUGAUGGGGCUUUAACUAAUAUUAGCAAAAAUUGCCUUGUGGCUGAAUUAAAUGUAUAGUAUAAACUAAAUUCACGGUGAUUCUUGGUUCAUCUUUUGCUUUCCAGAACUGAUGCUGAUAAAUAGUUGAACUGUUUUUUCCCAGUCCCAUGUAAAAACAACCAGCAUUUACAGUAUUUUACUACAUUAAAAUUCAUAAAUGA